rnacentral:tRNA from 1 species
GAGAAAGGCCCGCCGCAACGAAGGCCGCUACCCUACGUUUUCUUCGGUUGAACUCCGAUGCUUUCUUG